UUGAUUGGUGCUUGCAUCAUGAUUUACAUUUGAGUGAGUGGCGAACUGGUGAGUAACACGUGGGAAACCUGCCCAGAAGCGGGGGAUAACACCUGGAAACAGAUGCUAAUACCGCAUAACAACUUGGACCGCAGGGUCCGAGCUUGAAAGAUGGCUUCGGCUAUCACUUUUGGAUGGUCCCGCGGCGUAUUAGCUAGAUGGUGGGGUAACGGCUCACCAUGGCAAUGAUACGUAGCCGACCUGAGAGGGUAAUCGGCCACAUUGGGACUGAGACACGGCCCAAACUCCUACGGGAGGCAGCAGUAGGGAAUCUUCCACAAUGGACGAAAGUCUGAUGGAGCAACGCCGCGUGAGUGAAGAAGGGUUUCGGCUCGUAAAACUCUGUUGUUAAAGAAGAACAUAUCUGAGAGUAACUGUUCAGGUAUUGACGGUAUUUAACCAGAAAGCCACGGCUAACUACGUGCCAGCAGCCGCGGUAAUACGUAGGUGGCAAGCGUUGUCCGGAUUUAUUGGGCGUAAAGCGAGCGCAGGCGGUUUUUUAAGUCUGAUGUGAAAGCCUUCGGCUCAACCGAAGAAGUGCAUCGGAAACUGGGAAACUUGAGUGCAGAAGAGGACAGUGGAACUCCAUGUGUAGCGGUGAAAUGCGUAGAUAUAUGGAAGAACACCAGUGGCGAAGGCGGCUGUCUGGUCUGUAACUGACGCUGAGGCUCGAAAGUAUGGGUAGCAAACAGGAUUAGAUACCCUGGUAGUCCAUACCGUAAACGAUGAAUGCUAAGUGUUGGAGGGUUUCCGCCCUUCAGUGCUGCAGCUAACGCA
rnacentral:rRNA from 2 species